rnacentral:tRNA from 1 species
UGAGCGGUAGUUCAGUUGGUUUGCUUUUUGUUUAAGAGCAAGCCGGCCUGUCACGCCGGGGGGCGCGGGUUCGAGUCCCGUCCGCUCCGCCA